GGUGAUCCGACGAAUGAGUCUGUUGAGGGAACUCCUCUUCUUUCAAGGAUAUGCUCCUGGGAGGUGGUAUUCCCAAGUUGGAGGCUCGCGAAGUGGAUAACUUGAAGUUACAGGAAGGGGAUGUAAUCACGAGAGUCAUAAAUGGUAUACCGUCUAUAUGUUUCUCUGAGAGAAUUCACUUGUUGGUUGAGAAAAGUAUGCGUCUUUCAAUGGUUAUCAAAAUGGGAAGGAAAGUUGAUCCCAACGCCUUAUUAAGGUGUAUUCUCUCUAGAAAUCAAAGUUGACAAUUCAAUUGAUGGAUUUUGAGAAUGAUUACUAUUUGGUGAAAACUUAAGGAAGAAAAAGACUACAUUAAAGCUCUGACUGAACAUAUAUACAAUAUUUGACGAUUCCUCCAUGGUUGUUGUUUUCCACAAGUCAAGAUUAUCUGCGAAGAAUUACUGUUUGGAUUCGUCUUCCGUGAAGGUGGCGUUGGCCUCUUCCUAUGUUUCAUCGAACGAAUCAUCUCCUUUAGAUGUGUUCAUCUAUUGCUAACUUUUAGGCAAGUUCUUUUACCAUUUCUGUUAGAUUUCGUACUUUAUUCCUAAGUUGCUCAAGGUCUUGGUUGUCACGUCCUUCAUCCAUGAGAGUGGCGAGGCUCUUGGUCCUUUGCUUCUUGGGCCGGCCGUCCUUAGUGUGGACAUGGAAGUUGUCCUUGUCUUGCUUCAUUCGUGCCUUGGGAAGUGUUUUUGCCCAUCACCUCCUUAGAGGCAUACUUCUUGAUUUUUCCUCGAACAAAAUGUUGUGGAUGAGAAAGUUCCACUGUUCAUAGCGGUGAAGGUUCACGAACAAGGUGUGCUAGAUAUAAGGAUGGAGUAAACAAAAACUUAUGAAGACGUCCAAUGUAAAUAGGGAGAAAAACCUUUGUUCAUCAUGGUGAUGUCUUGAGCCUUUGAUAGUAUUAAAAAAGUGAGUGACGAUGGUAAUAGAAUCUCAAACAAAUGUAGAUUUCAAGAAUACUAGAAGGUAGUGAGCAAUGAUCAUGGUGGGACCUUGGACAAGCAUAGUCGCUUAGAGUACUUCAAGAGAGUGAGCAACAAUCGUGGUGAGGCCUUCAGGAAAAAGUGGAUUCCCAAAGUGUUGUAAGGGAGUGAACAACAAUUGUGGUAGGACCUCUGACGGAUGUAGGCACCAAGAGUGCUUCAAGGGAGUGAGCAACGACCGUGAUGAAGCUUUCAGACUUAAAUUGAUGCUAAAAGUGUUACAAGGGAGUGAGCAACUACUAUGGUAGGGUCUUAGACAAGGAAUGACAUCAAGGAUGAAAGGCUCGUCCUUUUUUAGUAUUUGUUUUGUGGUGAACAUUCCACAAGACACCUUGAAAGAGGAAACAAUUGUGAGUAGGCAUAAGAGGUUGCUUUUAUGGCAUACUUCAACGAUUAAAUCAACUUAUCAAACUAGAAUAAGUAUAUCAAAUGAAAAAUAAUUUAAGUAUGAGAAUCAAAUUUGAUGUGCUUGUGUGACAAGCAUGGUGAUACCCUCGAACGAUACUUAAAGCUUAAAGUAAUGGAUUUUGUUUGUAAGGGCCUAGAACUCUAGAAAGAUAGAGAGCACUAAAGAGAGGUACUCUUAAAAUAGAGAAGAAUGUGAAAAUGAGUGAAGAUCUUAAGAACGAUAUUUGUAAAAUGAAUUAUGUAUGAGAUAUGUAGAUUCUCCUAUUUAUAUCCAGUGGCCAAGUAACUUGCUGAUUUGCACAAAGUUACCGGUCAUGUACCUCACUUAAUAGUGGGAGAGCCGUCUGCUUAAGUUCAUACACCUCGAUUAUUGUCCAAG
rnacentral:lncRNA from 1 species